UAUUGUUGCAGGUGGGUGUGUCUGAGAGCCACCAGCUGCAGCUGAUCCCGUCAUCAAGGCCCAGGGGAUUUAAGGAGCAGUGUGACACUUCACCACGCCGGAUGAUUGCUCAGCUUUGGGUUUCACUCCACACUCCACCAUCUCAAUACCAGCUCGGAUUCCUGCACUUCAUCUCACGCUGUCUCCUCCCCUGGCCGCCCGCUCUCAGCCGCUCACCUGCACCCACCAAGCCUCUGCUCCUACCUCCUCUCAUAUUCGACAGUCCCUCCUCCUUCUGGAGCCUUCCUGCUCACCCGGACCUGACCUAGCCCUUCCAGAGGCUCUCACCACUAUCUACAUCAAAUCCUCUCCUGGAGCCUUGCUGCCAGCCUGCACGUCGCCUGUUCCCGUUCCUCUGAUUUAAUAAUAAAGAACGUUUUACUUA